UGGGGAAUAUUGGACAAUGGGCGAAAGCCUGAUCCAGCAAUGCCGCGUGUGUGAAGAAGGCUUUCGGGUUGUAAAGCACUUUCAGUUGGGAAGAAAAGCUCAGGGCUAAUACCCCCGAGUCUUGACGUUACCGACAGAAGAAGCACCGGCUAACUCCGUGCCAGCAGCCGCGGUAAUACGGAGGGUGCGAGCGUUAAUCGGAAUUACUGGGCGUAAAGGGCGCGUAGGUGGUUCGAUUAGUCGGGUGUGAAAGCCCCGGGCUUAACCUGGGAAUUGCAUUCGAUACUGUCGAGCUUGAGUAUGGUAGAGGGAAGCGGAAUUCCAGGUGUAGCGGUGAAAUGCGUAGAUAUCUGGAGGAACAUCAGUGGCGAAGGCGGCUUCCUGGACCAAUACUGACACUGAGGCGCGAAAGCGUGGGGAGCAAACAGGAUUAGAUACCCCCGUAGUCC
rnacentral:rRNA from 1 species